GCCCGCUCAGAAACUCAAAUGAAUUGACGGGGCCCGCACAAGCGGUGGAGUAUGUGGUUAAUUCGAUGCAACGCGAAGAACCUUACCUGGUCUUGACAUCCCGGAGACCCUUAGGAAACUAGGGGGUGCUUCCAUCUGGAAGAAUCUGGAGACAGGUGCUGCAUGGCUGUCGUCAGCUCGUGUCGUGAGAUGUUGGGUUAAGUCCCGCAACGAGCGCAACCCUUGCCUUUAGUUGCCAGCAGUUCGGCUGGGCACUCUAAAGGGACUGCCGGUGUUAAACCGGAGGAAGGUGGGGAUGACGUCAAGUCCUCAUGGCCUUUAUGACCAGGGCUACACACGUACUACAAUGGCCGAUACAAAGGGCAGCGACACUGCGAGGUGAAGCCAAUCCCGUAAAAUCGGUCUCAGUCCGGAUUGGAGUCUGCAACUCGACUCCAUGAAGUUGGAAUCGCUAGUAAUCGUGGAUCAGCAUGCCACGGUGAAUACGUUCCCGGGCCUU
rnacentral:rRNA from 1 species